AUGAACGCUAGCGACAGGCCUAACACAUGCAAGUCGAGGGGCAGCAUGGUAUCAGCUUGCUGAUACCGAUGGCGACCGGCGCACGGGUGAGUAACGCGUAUGUAAUCUGCCUGUAACAGAGGGAUAACCCGGAGAAAUCCGGCCUAAUACCUCAUAGCACAUAUUAUUCGCAUGAGUUUUAUGUUAAAGAGACUCGGUUACAGAUGAACAUGCGUUCCAUUAGCUGGUUGGCGGGGUAACGGCCCACCAAGGCGACGAUGGAUAGGGGUUCUGAGAGGAAGGUCCCCCACACUGGUACUGAGACACGGACCAGACUCCUACGGGAGGCAGCAGUGAGGAAUAUUGGUCAAUGGACGAGAGUCUGAACCAGCCAAGUAGCGUGAAGGAUGAAGGUCCUACGGAUUGUAAACUUCUUUUAUAAGGGAAUAAAACCUCCCACGUGUGGGAGCUUGUAUGUACCUUAUGAAUAAGCAUCGGCUAACUCCGUG
rnacentral:rRNA from 1 species